rnacentral:tRNA from 1 species
GCGUCCGUGGCGCAAGGGAUAGCGCGUUUGAUUCCGGUUCAAAAGGUUGCAGGUUCGAUUCCUGUCGGGCGUG